rnacentral:misc_RNA from 1 species
GAUGAAGAACGUAGCGAAAUGCGAUAAGUAAUGUGAAUUGCAGAAUUCAGUGAAUCAUCGAAUCUUUGAACGCACAUUGCGCCCACCAGUAUUCUGGCGGGCAUGCCUGUCUGAGCGUCAUUUCAACCCUCAUGCCCCUAGGGCGUGGUGUUGGGGAUCGGCCAAAGCCCGCGAGGGACGGCCGGCCCCUAAAUCUAGUGGCGGACCCGUCGUGGCCUCCUCUGCGAAAUAGUGAUAUUCCGCAUCGGAGAGCGAUGAGCCCCUGCCGUUAAACCCCCAACUUUCCAAGGUUGACCUCAGAUCAGGUAGGAAUACCCGCUGAACUUAAGCAUAUCAAUAAGCGGAGGA